rnacentral:tRNA from 1 species
GGGCGGUUAGCUCAGUGGUAGAGCGCCUGCCUUACAAGCAGGACGUCACUGGUUCGAAUCCAGUACUGCCCA